GCCCACUUGGAUAUUGAGCAUUUACCCAUAAGAAUAGGAUUAUUUUCAAUGAGUAGUUGUAGGUGCAACUUCGGAAAAGAGAAUCUGAUAAAGCUUUUCUUGCCUAGAGUCAUUGAGUCAUUAUAA
rnacentral:rRNA from 1 species